rnacentral:rRNA from 1 species
AAUGAACGCUGGCGGCGUGCCUAACACAUGCAAGUCGAGCGAGAAAGUCCCCUUCGGGGGCGAGUAAAGCGGCGCACGGGUGAGUAACGCGUGGGUAACCUGCCCUUGAGUGGGGGAUAACCAGCCGAAAGGCUGACUAAUCCCGCAUACGACCGGCAGACACAAGUCUGUCGGGGAAAGAGUGGCCUCUGCUUGCAAGCUAUCGCUCUUGGAUGGGCCCGCGUUGGAUUAGCUAGUUGGUGGGGUAACGGCCUACCAAGGCUGCGAUCCAUAGCUGGUUUGAGAGGACGACCAGCCACACUGGUACUGAGACACGGUCCAGACUCCUACGGGAGGCAGCAGUGAGGAAUAUUGCGCAAUGGGGGAAACCCUGACGCAGCGACGCCGUGUGAGCGAUGAAGGCCUUCGGGUCGUAAAGCUCUGUCAGAGGGAAAGAAAGGGUCGGCGGAAUAAUACCCGCCGACAUUGACGGUACCCUCGGAGGAAGCACCGGCUAACUCCGUG